CUGCUCUCCAACACCACUGAACACAAAAGUAUGAAAGAAUAAAAGUCAGGUUGUAAAGAGACAGUUGAUUUAACUAAUUGUGAUUAAAAUACCUCACUUGUGUAAAACUUUGAAAAAAAUACAUGACUAUCUGAACACAUUGCAAUUGAAGGGCCUGAGGCUUAGCUUCAUUUAGCAAACCAUAAAAUUGCCUUGUGGGGAACUGUGAAGGUUGUACCCUCGGUCCACACAUUCCUAUCCCUCUCUUAUUUUCCCCCAGAUACUUCACAACUCUUCGUACUUCAAAGUGACUGGCGGAAAACUUAGAUGUCCUCACCUGAGUUUCAUUCAUCCUCACUUACUUCACAUCCUGAUCCUCAAGUCUGACUUUUGCCAAAAAUCAGAAUGGACCCUGCUUCCUGCUUCCAAAGAUGUUCAUCAACAAAAAUCAUCAAUACCCAAAAAAAAAUCAUCAAUACCCCAUUUAUUUAGCAUUUCCUGUGCACUUGGUAGUGUGGUGAACACUUUAAAAAUAAGUGAGUUAAACCUCCCAAGAAGUCUAUGAAGUAGAUAUCACUGUUCACAUCUGCCCCUUGGCCUUUCCCUUGCAUUGAAACAAGACUUUUAUCUUGGUGCUCACAAUUUAGUGAUAGAGUUUGAGAAGUAAGCAGCCAAGAACAGCACAGAUAGUACAAAGUAUUGACCUUGAUCUCACAUCUUAAUGAUUUAAUGGGACAAAAAUUUAUGCCAUUAUUUAAAUUUAAUUCACUGAAGUUAUGUAGUGCUUAAUAAUUUCUCAGAUGGUGUUGCCUAUAUAAUCUUCCCCAAUCUUCACAGUAACAUUGAGAAGUAAAUAUUGUUAUGACCCCAUUUUCACAGACCAGGGAAGGAGACUCAUAGAUGUUAAGCAACCUACACAAAAACCUAUUAGCAAAUGGCAACUGUAAGAGGUGUCUUACAGGUGAAGGUGGUGUCCCUUCAGAUCCAUGCACUUUGAAUAAUAUAGUGACUCUAUAUAACUAUAUAUACUAACUGUAUAGAUAGUUACCUAUGUAACUAGAUUAACACACACACAUGGUAGCAUGUGUUGUAGUGGUCAAGGCCAAGACGAGCCACUUUGGCAUGAACACUAUUUUGAGCUGAAGGCAAUCAGGAUCCUGCAGGCUCAAGAAAAACUUUUGCCCCUCCCUUAACUACUUAGUAGAAUCUAAAUUGGGCAUCUUUCUCAGAAUAAGAGUUAUUGGCAAAGAUAAUUUUUAUGUAAGUGACCCAUUUGUAUGGCAAGGUAACAUCCAAUUACUGAACAUAUGCUUUUCUUAUUGCCCUGUAAAUUGCAUUCAUUUCCUCUAAAUUGCCUGACCCCACCCUCUUUUCCUUAAUUCAGGAUGAUGUAUAUACCUCAUUUUGCCUAACUAGCUUUGGAAUUUUCAUGUCUUUGUGGAUUCCCCAUGCAUAUGCUAUUAAAUUUGAUUUUCU
rnacentral:lncRNA from 1 species